rnacentral:misc_RNA from 1 species
UUUCCGUAGGUGAACCUGCGGAAGGAUCAUUAACACGUUUCAUCACGUAUUAAUUCAUUACCCCUCUGUGAACCUUGAACUCUUCUAAAAACUUCAAAAUCCUAUAUCGCGGGGCGUUGCUUGCAGCGCCUUGAGUGUUAGGUCGCCGCGGAUUCAUUUUCGUGGCGUUAACCCAACCAAACCCUUGAACCUUUUACAUCUGAAACCAUUUUUUUCCUGCCAUUCGUUGGCGUGCGAAAAAUAAAACACAAAAACAACUCUUAACAACGGAUAUCUUGGUUCUC